UGUAAUAUGAUUGUCCGCUUCAGGAGGAGGAGCAGUUCUUGAUUGUCCUGGAUGAAGCAGACGUCCCAGAAACACCAGCAAACACACUCCGUGACCUCCGACACUCAGAGGUCAAAGGUCAAGACGAGGUUGUCAGUGAGGUUCACCUGGAGGACGCGACUUCAGAGAAACAGAUCCAGCAGGGCACACAAAACAGGUUGGUUGUGGCUUGUUUUGCAUUUGAGGGUGAGGAGGCGGAGCUGUCGUUCAGUGAGGGUGAUGUCAUCACUCUAAUAGAAUAUGUAAAUGAGGAGUGGGGGCGUGGCAGCCUCAACGGACGAACUGGAAUCUUCCCCCUCAGCUUCAUCCAGGCUGCAGAGGAAACUGAAGCGUCGCCAGGGAAACCGGCUCUGGAGUCUCCUGCGCCCCCUGCAGGAGUGAGCAGUAAAGGACGAGCACUUUAUGAUUUCACUGCUGAGUGUGAAGAUGAGCUGUGUCUGAAGGCAGGAGAUAUAGUGUGUGAUCUGGAGGAAAUGGAUGCUGAAUGGUUCCAGGGAGAAUUUGGCGGGAAACGUGGAAUAGUUCCUAAAAACUUCAUCCAGUUGCUGCAGGAGUCGUGAAGUGUGUGUGUGUGUGUGUGUGUGUGUGUGUGUGUGUGUGUGUGUUUGCGUGUGUGCGUGUGUUUGUGUGUGUGUGUGUGUCGUCAGCAUGAUGAGCGUUUCUACACGUAGUCUUAAUUGUCUGUAAUAAACUUUAACGAGGUUAGCGUUGCGAUGCUAGUUAGCGCAUCUCCUGUACUGUACUCACUGUUACUCCACUCUGGGUGGAUUUAUGAAUUUGUUUACAGAGUUUUAACCCAUAUUAAACUCAUCAGUUACAGAUA